rnacentral:rRNA from 1 species
UGAGGAAUAUUGGUCAAUGGGGCGAGAGCCUGAACCAGCCAAGUAGCGUGCAGGAUGACGGCCCUAUGGGUUGUAAACUGCUUUUAUAAGGGAAUAAAGUGGGUCACGUGUGACUUUUUGCAUGUACCUUAUGAAUAAGGACCGGCUAAUUCCGUGCCAGCAGCCGCGGUAAUACGGAAGGUCCGGGCGUUAUCCGGAUUUAUUGGGUUUAAAGGGAGCGUAGGCCGGAUGUCAAGCGUGUUGUGAAUGCCGGGGCUCAACCUUGGCACUGCAGCGCGAACUGGCGUCCUUGAGUGCGCACGCCGCGGGUGGA